rnacentral:tRNA from 1 species
GUGAGUAUAGCUCAGUGGUAGAGUGCACGCUUAGCAUGUGUGAGGUCCCGGGUUGAAUCCCCAGUACUACCA